GACGAACGCUGGCGGCGUGCUUAACACAUGCAAGUCGAACGGAAAGGCCCUGCUUUUGUGGGGUGCUCGAGUGGCGAACGGGUGAGUAACACGUGAGUAACCUUCCCUUGACUUUGGGAUAACUUCAGGAAACUGGGGCUAAUACCGGAUAGGAGCUCCUGCUGCAUGGUGGGGGUUGGAAAGUUUCGGCGGUUGGGGAUGGACUCGCGGCUUAUCAGCUUGUUGGUGGGGUAGUGGCUUACCAAGGCUUUGACGGGUAGCCGGCCUGAGAGGGUGACCGGCCACAUGGGGACUGAGAUACGGCCCAGACGCCUACGGGAGGCAGCAGUGGGGAAUAUUGCACAAUGGGCGGAAGCCUGAUGCAGCAACGCCGCGUGCGGGAUGACGGCCUUCGGGUUGUAAACCGCUUUCGCCUGUGACGAAGCGUGAGUGACGGUAAUGGGUAAAGAAGCACCGGCUAACUACGUG
rnacentral:rRNA from 1 species